rnacentral:snRNA from 1 species
CAAAAGUUGGAACAAUUUAUCUA